rnacentral:rRNA from 1 species
AUUGAACGCUAGCGGGAUGCUUUACACAUGCAAGUCGAACGAGUGGCGGACGGGUGAGUAAUAUAUCGGAACGCGCCCAGUAGCGGGGGAUAACUACUCGACAGAGUGGCUUAUCCCGCAUUCUAUUGUAGCCGCCGAUAUCGGAUUAGCUAGUUGGUGGGGUAAAGGCUCACAAAGGCAACGAGCCGUAGCUGGUUUGAGAGGACGACCAGCCACACUGGGACUGAGACACGGCCCAGACUCCUACGGGAGGCAGCAGUGGGGAAUUUUGGACAAUGGGGGAAACCCUGAUCCAGCCAUCCCGCGUGUAUGAGAAGGCCUUCGGGUUGUAAAGUACUUUUGGCAGAGAAGCGGUAUCUGCAGAAGAAGCACCGGCUAACUACGUGCCAGCCGCCGCGGUAAUUC